UGUUCAUCACCUGCCUAUGAAACAGAGACUGUGGCUGCCCCCUGUCUUCCGGAGACCCAGCCCGGGACCUUAAGAGGUCAAGGAAAACCUUGAUCAACGACCGAAUGGAGGAAUUCACCAGAAGGGAGAAGCACUCCACAGCGACAUCAGGAGAGCCUCUACGGCGGCACUGAAGACUUCAUCCAUGUUAAUGAGGCGUGUCUAGAAGGGUAUUUGGAGUGUGGCUGAAAGAAUGUGGUUCUUCACUUGGAGCUGCAUGUGAAAUGUGGGCAGUCAGCAGGCUGUGAGCACAUUUGGAGUCUUUUACAACAACAGUUUGUGCUUCGGCGUUUUCAAGCACCACCAACAUAAUCUUACAGAAUAUAAAAUGGAUAGCUUCUGUGAGGUUCAGGUGGAAUCAGGCUGCCUCUGUUUACAAGCAGUGUUGAGCCCCACGGUCCCUUCCCCAUCGGCCAGGCUCUGUCGUUGUCCACCUCCUUCUGUGAAGGGGGCCUGCAUUUGUACUUGGGGGCAGGAGCCCAGGGCAUGAUGGAGGCUGACACGAAUGGCCAGAAGCGGGACACUUGCACUGGGGUGUCCCCUGCUCUUCAAGGUCUGUGGGAGAUGCUGUGAGUAAGAGCGAGAGGCAGGUACAGCGGUUUCCCACAAGACUCCUCCCCCACAUGCACACCUUCCCCCAGCUGGGGACUAUUUCAAUAAA